rnacentral:rRNA from 1 species
ACACUCCUGCGGGAGGCAGCAGUGGGGAAUUUUGGACAAUGGGCGAAAGCCUGAUCCAGCAAUGCCGCGUGUGUGAAGAAGGCCUUCGGGUUGUAAAGCACUUUUGUCCGGAAAGAAAUCCUUGGCUCUAAUACAGUCGGGGGAUGACGGUACCGGAAGAAUAAGCACCGGCUAACUACGUGCCAGCAGCCGCGGUAAUACGUAGGGUGCGAGCGUUAAUCGGAAUUACUGGGCGUAAAGCGUGCGCAGGCGGUUUGCUAAGACCGAUGUGAAAUCCCCGGGCUCAACCUGGGAACUGCAUUGGUGACUGGCAGGCUAGAGUAUGGCUGAGGGGGGUAGAAUUCCACGUGUAGCAGUGAAAUGCGUAGAGAUGUGGAGGAAUACCGAUGGCGAAGGCAGCCCCCUGGGCCAAUACUGACGCUCAUGCACGAAAGCGUGGGGAGCAAACAGGAUUAGAUACCCCUGUAGUCCCAUGAU